AUUGAACGCUGGCGGCAGGCCUAACACAUGCAAGUCGAACGGAGUGGCGGACGGGUGAGUAAUGUCUGGGAAACUGCCUGAUGGAGGGGGAUAACUACUGGAAACGGUCGCUAAUACCGCAUACUAUCAGAUGUGCCCAGGUCGGAUUAGCUAGUUGGUGGGGUAAAGGCAUACCAAGGCGACGAUCCGUAACUGGUCUGAGAGGAUGAUCAGUCACACUGGAACUGAGACACGGUCCAGACUCCUACGGGAGGCAGCAGUGGGGAAUAUUGGACAAUGGGCGCAAGCCUGAUCCAGCCAUGCCGCGUGUGUGAAGAAGGUCUUCGGGUUGUAAAGCACUUUAAGCUGGGAGGCGUUACCAACAGAAUAAGCACCGGCUAACUCCGUGCCAGCAGCCGCGGUAAUUC
rnacentral:rRNA from 1 species